UACGUAGGGUGCAAGCGUUGUCCGGAAUUAUUGGGCGUAAAGAGCUCGUAGGCGGUCUGUCGCGUCGGCUGUGAAAACCCGGGGCUCAACCCCGGGCCUGCAGUCGAUACGGGCAGACUAGAGUGCGGUAGGGGAGACUGGAAUUCCUGGUGUAGCGGUGAAAUGCGCAGAUAUCAGGAGGAACACCGGUGGCGAAGGCGGGUCUCUGGGCCAUUACUGACGCUGAGGAGCGAAAGCGUGGGGAGCGAACAGG
rnacentral:rRNA from 1 species